GUAGUUCUCUGUUGUUGUCCAGGGUCAGUCCUCUGCCUCUAAUACCACAGACUGACUGUAGUUCUCUGUUGUUGUCCAGGGUCAGUCCUCUGCCUCUAAUACCACAGACUGACUGUAGUUCUCUGUUGUUGUCCAGGGUCAGUCCUUGUGUCGGGGGCGUAUGACAGACUGACUGUAGUUCUGUUGUUGUCCAGGGUCAGUCCUCUGCCUCUAAUACCACAGACUGACUGUAGUUCUCUGUUGUUGUCCAGGGUCAGUCCUCUGCCUCUAAUACCACAGACUGACUGUAGUUCUCUGUUGUUGUCCAGGGUCAGUCCUCUGCCUCUAAUACCACAGACUGACUGUAGUUCUCUGUUGUUGUCCAGGGUCAGUCCUUGUGUCGGGGGCAUAUGAUAGAACAGUGGCUGUGUGGAACAUGGAGACCCUCUGCAAGACCCUGGAGUUGAAGGGACAUGCGGAUUGGGUGACAGAUGUGGCAAUCAGUGCUGACAAAAAAUGGGUGGCCUCAGCUUCCAAGGACACCACUGUCAGGUUGUGGAAUAUAGAACACUCUGAAGAGAUACCGGCCGUUAUUGAGACCAGGAAGGCUCAGGGAAUGGGCUAUCAUAUCCUCCAGGUUGGUAAUUGUACCACACACUGCUACCUUGUAUGUAGAGUGAGACCUGAUCCUAGAUCACCACUCCUACCCUGAGACCUGAUCCUAGAUCACCACUCCUACCCUGGGGCCUGAUCCUAGACCUGAUCCUAGAUCACCACUCCUACCCUGGGGCCUGAUCCUAGACCUGAUCCUAGAUAACCACUCCUACCCUGAGACCUGAUCCUAGAUCACCACUCCUAUCCUGAGACCUGAUCCUAGAUCACCACUCCUACCCGGAGACCUGAUCCUAGAUCACCACUCCUACCCGGAGACCUGAUCCUAGAUCACCACUCCUACCCUGAGACCUGAUCCUAGACAACCACUCCUACCCUGAGACCUG
rnacentral:lncRNA from 1 species